CCCCACCCUUCUCAAGCAUUAUUUUAUAAUGUUUGGAUUUAUUUGGAGAGGCACCUCUGUCAUGGAGGUACCCUUCAGAAAUGAAUAUGGCAGUAUAGUUUAUAUCUAAACUAGGCGUAAUAAUAAUAAUAAAGUCGCUGGGUUUUAUCAUAUUUAUACUAGCCUGAACCCACCCAUUAUUGAAUC
rnacentral:misc_RNA from 1 species